CACGGGGGUUGCGAGCGUUGUCCGGAAUUACUAGGCGUAAAGGGCAGGCAGGCGGAUCCAUAAGUUUAUCGUUUAAGGCGUCGGCUUAACCGGCGUAGGGUGGUAGAUACUGUGGAUCUGGAAUGCGGUUGGGGAAGACAGAAUUCCUGGUGUAGCGGUGGAAUGCGCAGAGAUCAGGAGGAAUACCGAAGGCGAAGGCAGUCUUCCAAGCCGUUAUUGACGCUCAACUGCGAAGGUGUGGGUAUCAAACAGGAUUAGAUACCCGGGUAGUCCCUGAG
rnacentral:rRNA from 1 species